GCGCAGCAGGCGAGAAACCUUCGCAAUGCGGGAAACCGCGACGAGGGGACUCCCAGUGCCUACGCUCAGCGUAGGCUGUUCCCGAGCCUAGAAAGCUCGGGGAGUAAGGGCUGGGUAAGACGGGUGCCAGCCGCCGCGGUAAUACCCGCAGCCCGAGUGGUGGCCACUAUUAUUGGGCCCAAAGCGUCCGUAGCCGGCCCGGUAAAUGCCUGGGUAAAUCGGCCAGCUUAACUGUCCGAAGUCCGGGGAGACUGCCAGGCUUGGGACCGGGAGAGGUCAGAGGUACUUCUGGGGCAGGGGUAAAAUCCUGUAAUCCUAGAAGGACCACCGGUGGCGAAGGCGUCUGACUAGAACGGAUUCGACGGUGAGGGACGAAGCCCUGGGGCGCAAACGGGGAUUAGAUACCCCCGUAGU
rnacentral:rRNA from 1 species